rnacentral:piRNA from 1 species
UACGUGGACCUAGAUGAUGUUGCU